CAAAGGUGGUGACGGACUGAUUGAUUGAGGUACGCAGUCUUGGCGCCGCCUCUACAGUGGUCAUACGGCGCCGACACAAGUGGUGAAGAGGACGGAAGAAGCUAUCAGGUAACAGAUAAUCAAAAUGAGUGACUCACCGCAUUGGAGGGAGGCAGCUCUUCCUCCCCCAGCGGCCCUCGGGGAUGCUGCAGAUGGAAGUGCUGCAUGCUGCGUGGUCUGUAAAGGAGAAAGACUCGUUAAGAAUUGAUAUAUGGUUCGGACGACUCAACGUGUGACAACAGGGAAGAGAAAAUAAGUUACAUUCUGCGGUUGAGAAUUAUGGAGAUGUUUUUACUUGCUAACUGUGUUUACUGAUUGAGAUGUACUUAUUUAGUGUGCUUUCACCUAUGCGUCCAAUGUUAAACUGUCUUUGUGUGUAGGUUGGGAGGGUUGAAUGUGCCUUUUUGUAACUGAAAUUUAAUCACUACAUGUACUUCAAUAAACAAUCGUGGUUCAUGGAGAGGAAGCACUAA